rnacentral:rRNA from 1 species
AUUGAACGCUGGCGGCAGGCCUAACACAUGCAAGUCGAACGAGUGGCGGACGGGUGAGUAAUGUCUGGGACACUGCCUGAUGGAGGGGUAUACCUACUGGAACCGUUGGCUAAUCCCGCAUACCAUCAGAUUUGCCCAGAUGGGAUUCGCUUGUUGUUGGGGUAACGGCUCACCAAGGCGACGCUCCCUAGCUGGUCUGAAAGGAUGACCAGCCACACGGGAACUGAGACACGGUCCAGACGCCUACGGGAGGCAGCAGUGGGGAAUAUUGCACAAUGGGCGCAAGCCUGAUGCAGCCAUGCCGCGUGUAUGAAGAAGGCCUUCGGGUUGUAAAGUACUUUCAGCGGGGAGGCGUUACCCGCAGAAGAAGCACCGGCUAACUCCGUGCCAGCAGCCGCGGUAAUAC